rnacentral:rRNA from 1 species
GUUGUAAAGCACUUUAAGUGAGGAAGAAAAGAUUUAAAUUAAUACUUUAAAUCCCUGACAUUACUCACAGAAUAAGGACCGGCUAACUCCGUGCCAGCAGCCGCGGUAAUACGGAGGGUCCAAGCGUUAAUCGGAAUUACUGGGCGUAAAGCGCGCGUAGAUGGUUUAUUCAGUUGGGUGUGAAAUCCCUGGGCUCAACCUAGGAACUGCAUUCAAAACUUAUAAACUAGAGUACGAAAGAGGAGAGUAGAAUUCAUGGUGUAGCGGUGAAAUGCGUAGAGAUCAUGAGGAAUACCAGUGGCGAAGGCGACUCUCUGGUUCGAGACUGACAUUGAGGUGCGAAAGCGUGGGUAGCAAACAGGAUUAGAUACCCUGGUAGUCCACGCCGUAAACGAUGAGAACUAGCCGUUGGAUCUUUAGAUUCAGUGGCGCAGCUAACGCAUUAAGUUCUCCGCCUGGGGAGUACGGCCGCAAGGCUAAAACUCAAAUGAAUUGACGGGGGCCCGCACAAGCGGUGGAGCAUGUGGUUUAAUUCGAUGCAACGCGAAGAACCUUACCAACCCUUGACAUCCAGUGGAAGUUUUAGAGAUAAAACUGUGCCUUUGGGAACACUGUGACAGGUGUUGCAUGGCUGUCGUCAGCUCGUGUCGUGAGAUGUAUGGUUAAGUCCAGUAACGAGCGCAACCCUUAUCCUUAUUUGCCAGCACUUCGGGUGGGAACUAUAGGGAGACUGCCGUGAAUAACACGGAGGAAGGUGGGGACGACGUCAAGUCAUCAUGGCCCUUACGGGUUGGGCUACACACGUGCUACAAUGGGAGAUACAGAUGGUUGCGAAAGCGCGAGCUGGA